rnacentral:rRNA from 1 species
GGAGCCUACGGGACGCAGCAGUGAGGAAUAUUGGUCAAUGGCCGCAGGGCUGAACCAGCCAAGUCGCGUGAGGGAUGACGGUCCUACGGAUUGUAAACCUCUUUUGCCGGGGAGCAAGCGUGCGUUCGUGAACGCGCGUCGAGAGUACCCGGAGAAAAAGCAUCGGCUAACUCCGUGCCAGCAGCCGCGGUAAUACGGAGGAUUCAAGCGUUAUCCGGAUUUAUUGGGUUUAAAGGGUGCGUAGGCGGUCGGAUAAGUUAGAGGUGAAAUCCCGAGGCUCAACUUCGGAAUUGC